rnacentral:rRNA from 1 species
UAUAUGGGUAACGUGCCCUAGAGAAGAGGAUAACAUCCGGAAACGGUUGCUAAGACUCUAUAUGCCUUUAAGACAUAAGUCUGCAAGGGAAAUAUUUAUAGCUCUUGGAUCGGCCUGUACGGUAUCAGCUUGUUGGUGAGGUAAUGGCUCACCAAGGCAAUGACACCUAACUGGUUUGAGAGGAUGAUCAGUCACACUGGAACUGAGACACGGUCCAGACUCCUACGGGAGGCAGCAUUGGGGAAUAUUGCACUAUGGACGAAAGUCUGAUGCAUCAACGCCCCGUGGAGGAUGACACAUUUCGGUGCGUAAUCUCCUUUUAUAUUGGAAGAUAAUGACGGUACUAUAUGAAUAAUCGCCGGCUAACUCCGUGCCAUCAACCGCGGUAAUACGGAGGGCGCAAGCGUUACUC